CAGUCGCCGCGGUAAUGCGUAGGUGGCAAGCGUUGUCCGGAAUUAUUGGGCGUAAAGGGCUCGCAGGCGGUUUCUUAAGUCUGAUGUGAAAGCCCCCGGCUCAACCGGGGAGGGUCAUUGGAAACUGGGAAACUUGAGUGCAGAAGAGGAGAGUGGAAUUCCACGUGUAGCGGUGAAAUGCGUAGAGAUGUGGAGGAACACCAGUGGCGAAGGCGACUCUCUGGUCUGUAACUGACGCUGAGGAGCGAAAGCGUGGGGAGCGAACAGGAUUAGAUACCCGUGUAGUCCCUGUCUCUUAUAC
rnacentral:rRNA from 1 species